rnacentral:rRNA from 1 species
UAAUACGUAGGGUGCGAGCGUUAAUCGGAAUUACUGGGCGUAAAGGGUGCGCAGGCGGCUUGGAAAGAACGGUGUGAAAUCCCGGGGCUCAACCUCGGAACUGCACUAUUAACUGCCAAGCUAGAGUAUGUCAGAGGGGGGUGGAAUUCCGCGUGUAGCAGUGAAAUGCGUAGAUAUGCGGAGGAACACCGAUGGCGAAGGCAGCCCCCUGGGAUGGUACUGACGCUCAGGCACGAAAGCGUGGGUAGCGAACAGG